rfam:Oryza barthii chromosome 1, whole genome shotgun sequence.
AAUAAGUGUAGGUUUGCACUAUUUAUCUUCAAUAUUUGAUUGUUCGUCUUAUUUUAAAAAAAAUUAUGAUUACUAUUUUUAUUGUUAUUAGAUGAUAAAACAUGAAUAGUACUUUAUGUGUGACUAUUUUUAAAAAAUAAUUCAUAAAUUUUUCAAAUAAGACGGACGGUCAAGCAUUGGACACUGGUUUCCACGACUGCACUUAUU